UACGUAGGGACCGAGCGUUGUCCGGAUUCAUUGGGCGUAAAGAGCUCGUAGGCGGCCACUCAAGUCGAAUGUGAAACCUCGAGGCUUAACCUCGAGCCUGCGUUCGAUACUGGGCGGCUAGAGUCUGGUAGGGGGAUCUGGAAUUCCUGGUGUAGCGGUGGAAUGCGCAGAUAUCAGGAGGAACACCGGUGGCGAAGGCGGGAUCCUGGGCCAGUACUGACGCUGAGGAGCGAAAGCGUGGGGAGCAAACAGG
rnacentral:rRNA from 1 species